GCAAUUCCUAGUUAGUUUUAGUUGCAUACAUAGAAAUAAUUUAUAGUAUCUCCAAGUGAUUUAAAACUUGUGUUCCUAUCAGGGUAUCAUAAGUUAACGUCAUCUUACAAUAAGGUACCCAGGACAUACAAAAACAUAACACAAGAACAUAACACCUAAGGUAACUCAUUUAACAGUCUUCCAAAAUACCAAGUAUCCAUCGUAUCAUUCCAAUCACACAUCAACACUAUAUUUCUAUGCUAAUAGGAACCUCAUCCUCUACCAUCUCUUAGGGAGAAAUGUUGCUUGUUAUCUGUACGAUCAUAUAACACAUCAUAAACAAUAUGAUACAACAUAAAUGAUUAUAACAUAAUACAAACAAUCACAUCAUAAAAUAAACAUAUAACAUUUCCUAAACAUAGAACUCAGUAUCAUGAACAUGGUGCAUUAUUAUUCAAUGUAUCACUAACUAGUUCAAUAUCAAAUGCAAUGCAUGUGGAUCCAUAUUCAACCUUUUACUUUUCAACUCAACUCCCAUUAUUUUUCAAGUCAACUCCUUUUGGAAAGCAAUCAGGAGUACAAGACAUCCUGUAUGACAUAAUACAAUAAGUACACCUAUUCAUAUCAAGAGCUCUCUCACCGAUCUAGAUAACUCAAAGGGGUGUCAGAAAUCACUUGGUUAAGCAAGGCUAUCCUCAUCUACAGGGGAUCAGCCUGGACCAUCACUGGACUAUCCUACCCAAGCAACCCUCAAGGUUUUCAUGAUGAAUCACCAUCAUUAACCACCCCUAUUCAUUUCCUAAGAUAUUCCUCUCUUGAAUCUUUCCAUUCCACCACAAACCUUUCUCCAAUGGUAUGAUGAAUGUAUGCCCAACACAUUUUAUUCAUGUACUGUAACUACAUUUCCAUUUUUAUGUACAUAUGUAAGUGUAUGUAACAGCAACAACAGUCAUUUCCUUUCAACUACAUCAACUACCAAUCAAGAUAAUUAGAAUUAAUUAUAAAUUUAUACCAAACACAACAUUCACACUAUUAACAAACAUAUACCUAGGGUAUCACAACAUUCACAUAAUCUAUCACAUCAUUAACCAAUAUGAGUUUACUAACUAUACUAUUCUUAACAUUGAUUAUUAUACAAAACAAAACAAAUGUAAUACAAGCUUGCAUCUGACUUUGAGGUCAUCGGACCAUACUAUGACACAAAGACCAAAACCACAAAGGCCAAGAAUAAAGUCUCUCUUACCUUGAGUAUUAUGGUUAGAUGCUUGUGCUCCACGUAAGCUUACUCGUGUUCCUCCAACACUAGAACCAAUUAC
rnacentral:lncRNA from 1 species